GAUGAACGCUGGCGGCGUGCCUAAUACAUGCAAGUCGAGCGAACGGACGCGAAGCUUGCUUUUCUGAUGUUAGCGGCGGACGGGUGAGUAACACGUGGAUAACCUACCUAUAAGACUGGGAUAACUUCGGGAAACCGGAGCUAAUACCGUAUAAUAUUUUGCACCGCAUGGUUCAAAAGUGAAAUACGGUCUUGCGGUCACUUAUAGAUGGAUCCGCGCUGCAUUAGCUAGUUGGUAAGGUAACGGCUUACCAAGGCAACGAUGCAUAGCCGACCGCAGAGGGGGAUAGCCCGCACGGGAGCUGAGACACGGUCCUGACUCCUAAGGGAGGCAGCAGAAGGGUAUCGUCCGCAGUGGGCGGAAGCCUGGCGGAGCAACGGGGCGUGAGUGAUGAAGGUCUUCGGAUCGUAAUACUCUGUUAUUAGGGAAGAACAUAUGUGUAAGGAACUGUGCACAGCUUGACGGUAACGAGUCAGAAAGCCACGGCUAACUACGUG
rnacentral:rRNA from 1 species